rnacentral:tRNA from 2 species
GGCGCUAUCGUCUAGAGGCCCAGGACACCAGGUUCUCAUCCUGGUAACCCCGGUUCGAAUCCGGGUAGCGUCACAA